CAGUCGCCGCGGGAAUACGUAGGGUCCGAGCGUUGUCCGGAAUUACUGGGCGUAAAGCGCACGUAGGCGGCUUGGUAAGUUAGAGGUGAAAGCCUGGAGCUCAACUCCAGAAUUGCCUUUAAGACUGCCGUGCUAGCAGGUGAGAGAGGUAAGUGGAAUUCCGAGUGUAGAGGUGAAAUUCGUAGAUAUUCGGAAGAACACCAGUGGCGAAGGCGGCUUACUGGCUCAUACUGGACGCUGAGGGGCGAAAGCGUGGGGAGCAAACAGGAUUAGAUACCCCUGUAGUCCCUGUCUCUUAUAA
rnacentral:rRNA from 1 species